GUCAACCAAAUUGUUGGGGGUUUGGAGGUGGCCAUGCAAGAUGUUUUGUGAUAAACGAAUGGUGCGCAUAAUAAACAAUUAAACCAAUAUUACAGCGAGACGCGUCGUUUCGGCAGAUAUGCUUGAAUCGUUUGAGCAAACGAACCGGAUCGGCAAAGAAAAAGCCUUUCACUCAAAACAUCUUUCUCACAUGCAAUAGGAAUUUUACGUCACAAAUUUGAUCGGGAUAAUAGUGUAGUGCCGCGACGAGGUUAUACCAGAAAUUGGGACAAUGGGCUUAAAGAUUUAUCUACGUUUCAUUUUAUAAUUAUUAUAUUAAACAAGUACUGUAUAGUUUCACUAUACAAUACCGAUUCCUUCUACGAUAAUAGUUGUCUUGGUGAUUCUGUUGAAUUCGCUGAUCGCGAAUGCGGUGCCCUACCCCGUUGCACUAUUUUUGUCUGUACGUUUUAUUUACACGUAUUUCUCUUGUUGCGUGUUUUCUUCGCCAAAUAUUUUGGCUAUCUUUAUAGCAGUUACGUAAUUUCCGACGUGAGUAAUUCCGGCACCAUGGCCGAUGAUGAAUUAAAUGAAACUCGAUUGUUUUACACGUAGUGGCGUGUGGACAUAUAUACCACGCUAAGUUAAAGGGAAUUGAUUUUUGACAUUCUUUACAUAAGGGUAAAAGAAGCUCAAAGCGUGCUGGUAAUAUAGUGAUAACAUGAUCGGAAAACGAUUGCUACACGGUUGUAAACAAAAUUAAUGUUUAAACAGUGAAAGUGAUCUUAUUUAGAUAUGUCUAUUGGAAAUUAUCUUAAGGAUAGUGAUCACAUCAUAAUGUGGUGGUUUGAGAUACUAUUGAAUAAUACUAUUAAAAAUGACAGAAGUAGUGUCCAAAGAUUUUGGUAAGGGGCAACCUUUUCGAAAAAGAGACAUGUCAGAUUCAUCGCAGCACCAAUAUAAUCAACCUCCUCCUGAUAUUAUGCCAAAAGGACUUGCAAUCAAUGGCAUAGGAGGAAGGUUACGCCAAUUAGAAUCCCUUUUCAUUGGUGGUCCUGUACAAGGAGAAGGAAGAAUAGGCCAUACAUUUUCUAUUGAGACACUCAUUGAUAUUUUACUUGUCUUAUAUGAUGAAUGUUGCAAUUCUUCCUUGAGGCGUGAAAAGACUGUCUCAGAUUUUAUUGAAUUUGUAAAACCAGUGGCUACAUGCAUUAAGAGUUUGCAGUUGGCACGGGAGGAUUUUGAAAUAGUAAAAGUUAUUGGUAGAGGUGCAUUUGGAGAAGUAUGUGUUGUAAGAAUGCGUGGUUCAGACAAAGUAUUUGCAAUGAAAAUUUUGAACAAAUGGGAAAUGCUAAAGCGUGCAGAAACAGCAUACUUUAGAGAGGAGAGAGAUGUACUGGUAUAUGGUGACCGUAGAUGGAUCACAAAUCUUCAUUAUGCCUUUCAAGAUGACAAUAAUUUGUACUUGGUCAUGGAUUAUUACUGUGGUGGAGAUCUAUUAACACUGUUGAGUAAAUUUGAAGAUCGCCUUCCUGAAGAUAUGGCACGUUUCUACAUAGCUGAAAUGGUUUUGGCUAUUGGGUCCAUACAUGACUUACGUUAUGUACACCGUGAUAUUAAACCUGAUAAUGUUUUGUUAGACGCAAAUGGACAUAUUAGAUUAGCAGACUUUGGAUCUUGUUUACGAUUAUUUGAAGAUGGUACUGCACAAAGUAAUGUUGCUGUUGGUACACCAGACUAUAUUUCACCAGAAAUUUUAAGGGCAAUGGAAGAUGGCCAAGGACAAUAUGGACCUGAAUGUGAUUGGUGGUCUUUAGGAGUAUGCAUGUAUGAAAUGUUAUAUGGAGAAACACCUUUUUAUGCAGAAUCUCUAGUCGAAACUUAUGGAAAAAUUAUGAAUCAUAAGAAUUGCUUUGACUUCCCAGCAGAUGAUAUGUAUGAAGUUUCAGAAGAAGCUAAGGAUUUAAUGAGAAAAUUAAUAUGUAGUUCAGAAUUUAGAUUAGGUCAAAAUGGAAUUGAUGAUUUCAAGAAACAUCCAUGGUUUGAAGGAGUAAAUUGGGAUACUCUUAGAGAUAGUACUGCACCUUACAUUCCUGAAGUUUCCUCGCCAACUGAUACAUCAAAUUUUGAUGUUGAUGAUACAGAUGUUCGUAGUUCUGAUGCUGUUCCACCAGCAGCAAAUUCUGCGUUUUCUGCACUUCAUUUACCAUUUGUUGGUUUUACUUUUACUCAAGGAAGUUGCAUAUCAGAUCUGGGUUGUUUGUUCGCUAUAACUCAAAAGGAUAAACGUAUGCAGCUAUUAGAGGAAGACAAUGCACGAUUAACACAAGCACUUGAAGAAUUAAAAAAACAAACUACUAUGAGUCAUUCUUCUCCUGGAAUAUCACCAGAUUCUACUAAUGCAACAAGAAAACUUCAGGAUGAAAUAAAUACACUUACUAAACGCAAUUGUGAAUUAGAAUCACAAUUAAAAUCUAUGGAAGGUCCUCGGGAAUUACGGAACUUAGAUAAUGGUGAUAUGACAAAACUACGAGAAUUAGAAAAAUUAGUACGUUCUCUUCGAUUAGAAAAGGAAGAAGCUAUUAAAGACAAGUUAGAUACUCACGAGAAACUUAAACUUCAAGAUAAAGAAUUAAAGGAUGCAUUAACACAACGUAAAUUAGCAAUGGCUGAAUAUACUGAAGUUACAGAUAAAUUGUCAGAAUUAAGACAACAAAAGCAAAAGUUAUCCAGGCAAGUUAGAGAUAAAGAAGAAGAAUUAGAAGUUGUAAUGCAAAAAGUCGAUAGCUUGCGACAUGAUAUUCGAAAAGCCGAAAAGUUACGUAGAGAAUUGGAAAAUCGAGUUGAAGAAGCAAUGGCUGAAACGAGUAAAGAAAGAAAAUUAAGAGAACGUAGUGAAGAAUAUUGUAAACAAAUGCAAGAGGAAACAGAAAAAAUUAGACAAAGAUCUAUGGGAAAUGAUGCAGGUGCAAAUCAUGCAUUAGCAACACAAGAAAUUAAUAGGUUAAAGGCAGAAGUGGAAAAACUUGAAGUUCAAUAUAAUGAAAAUUUAAAUCAACAGCAAAGUAGGUUCAAUCUUGAAAUUCGUAGUCUUCAAGAACAAUUGCACGAAGCUGAAACAAGAAGAGAUUUAUUAGAAAGGGAAGUUCAGUUAACAAAAGAAAAAUUAGAUACUGCAAGAUUAGAAAAUAUUACCGAUAGUGAGGAGACUAUAAACGAAUUAAAUAGACGUCACGAGAGAGAAAAAAUUAUGCUAGUCGAAGAAAAUAAAAAACUUAUGUUAGAACUUAGCACACUUACUGAUAGUGUUAAUAGAAUACAAGGUGAAAGGCGACAAUUGGAAGAAGAAUAUGAGGAACUAAGAAAUAAAAAAGAAGCUAUUGCACAAUGGGAAGCUCAGAUUACCGAAAUUAUUCAGUGGGUAUCUGACGAGAAAGAUGCUAGAGGAUACUUGCAGGCAUUAGCUACGAAAAUGACAGAAGAAUUAGAAUUUUUAAAACACUCUGGUGGUGUGGGUGGUGUAGGAAGUGGUUCUACUAUGGCAGAUAAAAACUGGCGAAAUCGAAGAUCACAAAAACUUGAUAAAAUGGAGCUUUUAAACCUACAAAGUUCUUUACAAAGUGAAAUACAAGCUAAACAAGCUAUAUCCGAAGAACUUACAAAGACACGUUCAGAUUUAAUUGCUGCUCAAAAAGAAUUAAGAGAUUUCAGACAACGAUUCGAUACACUCACGCAUGAGAUAAAACGCAAAGAAAUGCAAAUAAAAGAGUUACAAGCAAGGCUUGACACAGGCGAUGGCUCUGUCCUACCCAGCAAAACGUCAAGAAAAUCUCCAAACAUCGUUAGCACCAAACCCCAGCGCAUCAUCGUACAUCAGCCGUCGUCACCCCUACCAGUAAUGCGUGCUCCCCGCGUCACGACAUGUCGCUUAUUAACUAGAUUCGUUCCCGUCAACACAUUCAUCAGUCAGAAUGCCGUCGCCAUCGUAUCGCCACCCGUUUUAGAACGUCCUACAUCUCAAAUGUCAUACUUGGAACAUUUCUUGAAAGAAACUGCAAGCAGUACACGUCACGGAAGUGCAGAUAGUGUAGAAGCUGAUAUUGAGGAUAAUCGAGCACCAAGUAUUUCUAGCAGUAAAAGCAAUUUAUCUGAACUUAGUAUUGAUCCUACAUCACCAUUAUCUCAUGAGCUUCUUAAUAAAUCAACAUCUCAUGGACAAACCAAUCUUCAACCGAAACCAAAAUCUCAUCAAUUCUUAGUAAGAACAUUUUCAGCACCUACAAAAUGUAACCAUUGUACUUCAUUGAUGGUAGGUUUAACGAGACAAGGAGUAGUAUGUGAAGUUUGUGGUUUUGCAUGUCAUAUGCCUUGUUGUGACAAAGUUCCACCAAUGUGUCCAGUACCACAUGACCAAACAAAACGACCAUUGGGUAUUGAUCCUACAAGAGGAAUAGGUACAGCUUAUGAAGGAUAUGUUAAAGUGCCAAAAAUGGGUGGAGUGAAAAAGGGUUGGGUUCGUCAAUUUGUAGUGGUUUGCGACUUCAAAUUAUUUCUUUACGAUAUUUCACCAGAUCGUAAUGCAUUACCAUCUGUUUAUGUGUCUCAAGUCUUAGACAUGCGGGACGAGGAAUUUAGUGUUAGUUCUGUUCGAGAUUCGGAUGUCAUACAUGCUACAAAAAAAGACAUUCCGUGCAUUUUUAGGAUAACAACGUCGCUGCUAGAACCACCUGGUUUAAGGAAUCACACAUUAAUGCUUGCAGACACUGAAAGUGAAAAGACAAAAUGGGUAGUUGCUUUAAGUGAAUUACAUAGAAUACUAAAGAAAAAUAAUCUUCCUAAUACAACGAUUUUUAGAGCAAAAGAAUUAUUAGAUAAUACAUUGGCGCUCAUUAAAAAUGUGAUGUCAGGAGCAAUCAUUGAUCCAGAUCGUCUAGUCAUUGGUACAGAAGAAGGCCUCUUCUGUUUAGAUUUAGAUCGUAGCGAAAUUGCAAGAGUAGGAGAAGGCAAGAAAAUAUAUUUACUGGAAUAUGUAACAGAAGAACAAUUAAUAGUAGUUUUAAGUGGAAAACAACGUCAUGUACGGCUGGUCCCAGUACGUGCAUUAGAUGGAGAUGAAGUUGAAUGGAUUAAAGUUGCAGAAACUAAAGGAUGUAUAACUUUAACAACAGGCAUAGUCCGUCGCAGUCCAUUAACUUAUUGUUUGUGUGUUGCCAUAAAAAAACAGAAUGCAUCACAAGUCAUUAUCUAUGAAAUAACGCGUACGAAAACACGUCAUAAACGCAUACGUGAAUUGAUGUUAUCAUGUCACGCACAAACCUUGCAAGUUCUUUCUGAAGGGCGCUUUUGUGUCGGAUAUCCUUCUGGAUUUUCCAUCUACAGCAUCUUAGGAGACCAUCACCCUAUUUCAUUGGUCCAUUCUGAGAAUACACUCUUAGGUUUUCUCACAUAUAGCGCUGUGGAUGCUUUACGUUGUAUUGAAUUGCCACGUGGUGAAUUCUUAUUAGUCUUCCAUACAUUGGCAGUUUAUGUUGACAGUCAAGGCAGAAAAAGUAGAGAUCGUGAAAUUAUGUAUCCUGCUAUUCCGACAGCAGUUAGUUAUUGUGAAGGCUACUUACUAGUUUAUAGUGAGACUCACAUUGAUGUGUUUGAUUGUACCACUGGAGACUGGUUGCAAACGCUUAAUGUAAAACGAGCACGACCACUAAAUACUUCAGGUUCUUUAACGUCCUGUGUCAUUAACGAUAUGCCACAUGUUAUUUUUCUGAGCAAUUUACAUCAACGAGAAUUACUCAACUUAACACCACUAGAUCCAAGUGGUAGACAAAUGACAAAACCGCGGAGAAGAUUUUCAUUAAGAGAAGGAAAUAGAGCUGUUCGUCCUACUGACAGACGCUCUAAAAUGAUAUCCGCCCCGACCAAUUUCAAUCACAUCAGUCAUAUGGGUCCAGAUUCAACGGUUGUUAGACUUGCCUACUACACUCGAAACAGCUGAUCAACAACAUAGCGGACAUCACAGUAGCUCUCAUCUUCAUAGCAGCCAACAAAGAUUAUAUAGCCCUGCAAUUCAAACAUCAAGUAAGCCAGCACCACUGCCGCCUAGGCACCCACCUGCUGAUACACGACGUC
rnacentral:misc_RNA from 1 species